GACGAACGCUGGCGGCGCGCUUAACACAUGCAAGUCGAGCGAUGAAAUCUUAACAGAACCCUUCGGGGCGAAGAUAAGACGGAUUAGCGGCGGACGCGUGAGUAACACGUGAGUAACCUGCCUUUUACACAGGGAUAGCCUCGGGAAACCGGGAUUAAAACCUGAUGAAACUAUCAAAUCACAUGAUUAAGAAAGUUAAAACUCCGGUGGUAAAAGAUGGACUCGCGUCCCAUUAGCUAGUUGGUGAAGGUAACGGCCCACCAAGGCAACGAUGGGUAGCCGGCCUGAGAGGGUGAACGGCCACAUUGGAACUGAGAAACGGUCCAAACUCCUACGGGAGGCAGCAGUGGGGAAUAUUGCACAAUGGGGGAAACCCUGAUGCAGCGACGCCGCGUGAGCGAAGAAGGCCUUCGGGUCGUAAAGCUCUUUUAUAUGGGAAGAUAAU
rnacentral:rRNA from 1 species